rnacentral:rRNA from 1 species
AGUGAACGCUGGCGGUAGGCCUAACACAUGCAAGUCGCACGGCAGCACAGGAGAGCUUGCUCUCUGGGUGGCGAGUGGCGGACGGGUGAGGAAUACAUCGGAAUCUACUCUGUCGUGGGGGAUAACGUAGGGAAACUUACGCUAAUACCGCCUACGACCUCCGGGUGAAAGCAGGGGACCUUCGGGCCUUGCGCGAUUGACUGAGCCGAUGUCGGAUUAGCUAGUUGGCGGGGUAAAGGCCCACCAAGGCGACGAUCCGUAGCUGGUCUGAGAGGAUGAACAGCCACACUGGAACUGAGACACGGUCCAGACUCCUACGGGAGGCAGCAGUGGGGAAUAUUGGACAAUGGGCGCAAGCCUGAUCCAGCCAUACCGCGUGGGUGAAGAAGGCCUUCGGGUUGUAAAGCCCUUUUGUUGGGAAAGAAAUCCAGCUGGCUAAUACCCGGUUGGGAUGACGGUACCCAAAGAAUAAGCACCGGCUAACUUCGUGCCAGCAGCCGCCGUAA